ACCUGGCUGGCUCAGCAGGAAGAGCAUGUGAUUCUUGAUCUCCAAGGUCAUGAGUUCGAGCCCCAUGUUGGGUG
rnacentral:tRNA from 1 species